rnacentral:ncRNA from 2 species
CACUCUGGAAAGCAGCAGGCGGGAUGUGUCCCGAUUGCUCACCGAAGGAGUAAGCCCGCCACUGAGGCCCCCCAGACCAUCGGGGACAUUGCUUCGGGCAGGGUGAAUCUCUCAGGUUUUCGACAGAGGG